AGAGUUUGAUCAUGGCUCAGCCUGAACGCUGGCGGCGUGGCUAAGACAUGCAAGUCGAACGGGUGUAGCAAUACACCAGUGGCGGACGGGUGAGUAAUGUAUCGCUAAUGUGCCCCGGAGCCUGGGAUAGCCAGCCGAAAGGNNUAAUACCAGAUGAUAUGCCCUUGUCGCAUGACAAGGAUCUCAAAGCAGCAAUGCACUCUGGGAGCAGGCGAUAUCGUAUCAGCUAGUUGGUGAGGUAACGGCUCACCAAGGCGACGACGCGUAGCUGGUCUGAGAGGACGGCCAGCCACAUUGGGACUGAGACACUGCCCAGACUCCUACGGGGGGCUGCAGUAACGAAUCUUCCGCAAUGCACGAAAGUGUGACGGAGCGACGCCGCGUGUAGGAGAAGUCCUUCGGGAUGUAAACUACUGUCAGGGGAAAGAAAGUUCUGAUCUACCCCAGAGGAAGAGGCGGCUAACUCUGUGCCAGCAGCCGCGGUAAUACAGAGGCCUCGAGCGUUAGGCGGAAUCACUGGGCUUAAAGCGUGUGUAGGCGGACUUCUAAGUACCUUGUGAAAUCCCACGGCUCAACCGUGGAACCGCUCGGUAUACUGGUCGUCUUGAGCCACUUAGGGGCUACCGGAACAAAUGGUGGAGCGGUGAAAUGCGUAGAUAUCAUCUGGAACGCCAAUGGUGAAAACAGGUAGCUGGGAGUGGCUGACCUGAGACACGAAAGCCAGGGGAGCGAACGGGAUUAGAUACCCUAGUAGUCC
rnacentral:rRNA from 1 species